rnacentral:rRNA from 1 species
AAUUACCCACUCCCAGCACGGGGAGGUAGUGACGAAAAAUAACGAUACGGGACUCAUCCGAGGCCCCGUAAUCGGAAUGAGUACACUUUAAAACUUUUCCCGAGGAUCAAUUGGAGGGUAAGUCUGGUGCCAGCAGCCGCGGUAAUUCCAGCUCCAAUAGCGUAUAUUAAAGUUGUUGCGGUUAAAAAGCUCGUAGUCGAAUCUGUGUCCCGCGCCGCUGGUUCAUCGCUCGCGGUGUUCAACUGGCGUGUCUCGCGGGACGUCCUGCCGGUGGGCGCUCGUCCGUUUCGGCGGUCGUGGCCCAACUCGCUUCCGUCUCGCGCGGUUGUGAAUCCCAUCGCGGUGCUCUUUAUUGAGUGUCGAGGUGGGCCGGCACGUUUACUUUGAACAAAUUAGAGUGCUUAAAGCAGGCCAAUUUUGCCUGAAUAUUGUGUGCAUGGAAUAAUGAAAUAGGACCUCGGUUCUAUUUUGUUGGUUUUCGGAACCCCGAGGUAAUGAUUAAUAGGAACGGAUGGGGGCAUUCGUAUUGCGACGUUAGAGGUGAAAUUCUUGGAUCGUCGCAAGACGGACAGAAGCGAAAGCAUUUGCCAAAAACGCUUUCAUUGAUCAAGAACGAAAGUUAGAGGUUCGAAGGCGAUCAGAUACCGCCCUAGUUCUAACCAUAAACGAUGCCAGCUAGCGAUCCGCCGACGUUCCUCCGAUGACUCGGCGGGCAGCUUCCGGGAAACCAAAGCUUUUGGGUUCCGGGGGAAGUAUGGUUGCAAAGCUGAAACUUAAAGGAAUUGACGGAAGGGCACCACCAGGAGUGGAGCCUGCGGCUUAAUUUGACUCAACACGGGACACCUCACCAGGCCCGGACACCGGAAGGAUUGACAGAUUGAGAGCUCUUUCUUGAUUCGGUGGGUGGUGGUGCAUGGCCGUU